AAUGCUGGAGAAGGGCCAAGUAAUCAGGUUACAACAUUGAGGAGAACUACCUCAUAUGUGGAUGAUCAGGAUUACAUUUUUGUUGGACUUCAGGAUGUUGUACCUACCUCAUAUGUGGAUGACCAGGAUUACAUUUUUGUUGGACUUCAGGAUGUUGUACAAACAUUGCUAGCUCAACUUCUCAAAGCAGAGCCUCGUCGAACCGUCCUCUCCAUUUAUGGCAUGGGCGGAUUAGGCAAGACCACUCUUGCAAGAAACCUCUACACCAGUCCUAACAUAGCUUGAAGCUUCCCUACACGCGC
rnacentral:lncRNA from 1 species